rnacentral:rRNA from 1 species
UACGUAGGUGGCAAGCGUUAUCCGGAUUCACUGGGCGUAAAGCGCGCGUAGGUGGUCCUUCAAGUCAGGUGUUAAAUAUUCCGGCUUAACUGGAAAAUGUCAUCUGAUACUGCUGGACUUGAGGACGGUAGAGGGAGGUGGAAUUCCCGGUGUAGUGGUGAAAUGCGUAGAUAUCGGGAGGAACACCAGUGGCGAAAGCGGCCUCCUAGGCCGUUCCUGACACUGAGGCGCGAAAGCGUGGGGAGCGAACAGG